GAAGGCAUAGCUCAGUGGUAGAGCUUGUGCUUAGCAUGCAUGAGGUCCUGAGCUCAAUCCCCAGUACCUCCA
rnacentral:tRNA from 1 species